CACCCCAACAAUCGUUCAGGUCUCAAAAGUGAGGAAAACCAAAGUUGAUGGGAAGGCCUAGAAUUCAGUGAUCAUACUUAAAGCUCUUGCUGAAAAACAAGAUAAGCAACCAUUGUCUAAUCAAAUGAGCAGAGGACUACAUCCAGCAAACCCAAGUAUACACAUAAAAAUCAUCAAGAGCAGAGAUGGAAGCAGCAGUGGCAGAACCUGAGGUGGAAUCCCAAGAGCUGUCUGCUGGAAAAGAAGAAAUAAAAACACCCACAGGAAUAGCAUUACCAGAGACAAAAGAAGUAAGAGGGCCAGAAACCUCAUCUGGAACCAGUUUUAAAGCACCAGAGUGUGCUGGCAUAUCAGCAAUGAAAGCCACACAAGACACACAGUCUGAAAGAACAGCCAGAGCAGCAGAGAAGGUGGCAAAAGCACAGAUGACAAUGAUUCUGAAGUCAGCAAGAGCAGAGCUGAAGCACAGAAGAACUGCAAAUCUGAAACAAAAGAAUCCUGACUGAUGUGCCUUGGAAAAAAAGGGAAUGAAUGAAACUGAAAAGAAAUGAAGGAAGAAUGUAACCACCACCAAACACUAAUGACAAUAAAUGUGCUUGCCAGGGUGAUUGCAAAUUACACUUGGUAAA